UUAGCAAAAUUGACUGGCAAUGCAAAAUUACUCCAGCCCUAUGCUUGUUACCCUGAUAUUCAUGCUUACUUACGCAUUUAUUUUCCAGCAGAGUCAUACUUCUUCCUGUAACAUGAAGCUUUCCCUCACACAACCCAAGCCAGAUCAUUCCCUUUCCCAAAGAGAUGACAAACUCUUCUUUGAGUUGCAUCCAUUCCUCCAGUUGUCUCCUCCUCAUUUCUCUGCCUCCCAGCCUACAUGAGGUGAACAACAUGUUUGUGCCACAUACUUCCACAGCCAUGAUGUCUUUCUUUGUGAAGCCAUGAAAUGUUCUGUGCUCAGAAACAUGGAGACAACUUUGAAAACCUUUUCCAAAACAUCGGUGACACUUUCUCUUUCAUUUCAAAGAUUCUGAAUUGACCAAAAAUGGUAAAGUUGUUUACUGUGUAGAACUCUAUACAAGCAUGACUUUCCUCAA